AAUUUGGACUGAAUUUUCAAGGAUUUGAAGAAAAAAUCCUCACAAAAAAAAAUGUUCAAACAUUUUUUGAGGGGUUUUAAACAUUAUUCUUUUGAUUAGCAGUUGACAUCUUAGGCAGGGUGCUGCAUUCUCUCUCGCUUGUUUCAUUUUCCUCUCUCGCGGUCUCAGCUAGUGCGCGACCUCCUAAAAAAGGAAAAGUAGUGUACGGCGCAGCUAGCAGGUCCUAUCUGCUUUCUCCCCUUCCGGAUCCCCUUUCGCCGUCGUCUUGGUGGCCCGAUUCCGGCCAUCUCUCUCUCUCUCUCUCUCUCUCUCUCUCUCUCUCUCUCUCUCUUACAGUGCUCACGGGACCGAGCUUUCCUUCGCUUUCUCUACCUAUCACAUCCCCACUGUCCUGUGCCCGCCCCCUCCGCUGACCCUAGGCGCGGCAUGGAAUCGCCAACAUGGUUCCGUGUUGAGACAACCUCGUUGACUCCUUUAGCUCAGGCGGCCGUGCGGCCUGGUCAAGGAGAGGCGGCCAUGGCCCCAUGAGGUUUGGGCCGUGGUGUCAUGCGCAUCGGCUCGGUGGCCGGGUGGGCGCUUCUACCAUAGUGCAUUGGAGGCGGCGUGGCUAUGGAGGUAACAGAACUGGAUGGCGGAUGCGACCUACUGGCAUCAGCGUCAUAGACAGGUAGAGCGGCGUGUUGGCUGGCGGCAGCUUGCAUGGCCGAACGGCGGAGGCGCUCGACGACAACCAUGACGCUACGCUGGUCGGAUGUAUCGGUAUGUCGUGCGAGUUGUUGCAACCGUCAUCCAUGUUGGAUUCGGCGACUGCAAGCAGCGGCACUUGCCCAUAUUCUCUGCGUACCUUCUCAUCCGGAAGCACCAUGUGUAGGUACGUUUGUUCCUCCUGGUCUUCCCACCUAUUUUGUACUUUUACCUUUACCUAGACAUGAUGCCGAGGUGAAGCAAUUUGUUUUGGGGAUGUAGUAGUUUGGAGUUAGCAUUAUAUACUGAGUAUUUAUUUGUCCAAAUGGUUUCAUAAAAAAGACAUGCCAUCCUGUUAGAUUAACAGACGGGAAGACAGAAAUUGCAGUGUUGUUUGCUUGAUGUUAUUCUGUUAGCCAUUAAUUGUAUUCGAACUCAUGAAACCUCUCCAUCCAUGUACUGCAUUUUCAUGAUUGCUACACCCCUCCACGUGGGGCGCAUCAGGCGGCUGCGGUGGGCAAGGUCGCGGUGGUGGCCAAACAAAAAUAAAUGAGACGCAAACGACACGGUGGUGCCGGCCGGGGUAUGCAGUAUGUUCGUCUUUACAAAGGCAGCCAUAGGAUUUUUUUUUUCUGAUCAAGAUCUAUCUCUUUGGGACCACUGAUUUUGUUAGUAAGCCUCUAGCUAAGAAGAGGUAGAAAGGAGGUGCUGAGUGGCAACCGAUGGCAGCGGAUAAGAAGGCAUGGAAGCUGAUUUAAGCUGGUAGACGGUAGACAAAGAGCAAUGGAAGACAAAUUAAGGUGUUGUGCUACCAGUUGGCUGGAUUCCUGGGCACCCUGUAUUCCUCGUUGACUGGUUCCACUCCGAACUACGGCCGCAGUCACUUGUCACCAUCCAGCAUGAAUCAGGCGCCAACAGCAGCCUCUGAACUCCUCGAGUCGCUGUAGGUACACAGCAUUUUUCCUGCUGGCAUUUAUCAAAGUUUUCCAAUGCGUCGUGGCAAGGGCAUAUUUGGCAUUUAUCAAAGUUUUCCAAUGCGUCGUGGCAAGUGCAUUGUGAAAGCGCAUCAGGUAUGCAACUGAGUUUCCUAAUCCAGUUGAUAAGGGAAUCGGCACCAUAGAGUGCAGCGGAACUGCAAGUGGAAGUAGGUUUUCUUGAAGAAUUUCCUUCCCUUUCUUCUUUCCCAGUUCUUCUUUUCCGUCCAUUGUUUGGGGGAUCCUGUCGAUCUGGAUACUGAGAGGAGCAGCGAACGGCUGAAGGGGGUGUUUGGAGUUGGUGGAGUCGCUGCAGCAUGUGAGUUCUUUGCUUGCUGAAGAAGAAGGCAGGGCAGUUGUUUCUAGGCCUUGCACGUGAAUUGUGUUGUGGUAUUCAGGUUGCGUGGGCUUUUUACAUGUAUGGUUUAGUUGGCUGGACAGUUUCGUGUUGGGUUCAAAAAAACGGACACAUCGGACUCAAUUACUUUCCCGUACUGAAAUACGUCUGUUUUGGUUAACUAAAACAGACACUUUUUCAUUUCAACGAGUGUUUUCAUUGUUGUUUUUUAAAAGACAGCUGUCUUCAUUUGAUUGGUGCAGA